rnacentral:rRNA from 1 species
GAUGCAUGUUCAGUGAAAUCGAGUAGGGCGGGACACGUGUUAUCCUGUCUGAAUAUGGGGGGACCAUCCUCCAAGGCUAAAUACUCCUGACUGACCGAUAGUGAACCAGUACCGUGAGGGAAAGGCGAAAAGAACCCCUGUGAGGGGAGUGAAAUAGAACCUGAAACCGUGUACGUACAAGCAGUAGGAGCACCUUCGUGGUGUGACUGCGUACCUUUUGUAUAAUGGGUCAGCGACUUAUAUUCAGUGGCAAGGUUAACCAUCUAGGGGAGCCGUAGGGAAACCGAGUCUUAACUGGGCGCCAUAGUCUCUGGAUAUAGACCCGAAACCGAGUGAUCUAGCCAUGGGCAGGUUGAAGGUUGAGUAACAUCAACUGGAGGACCGAACCGACUAAUGUUGAAAAAUUAGCGGAUGACUUGUGGCUAGGGGUGAAAGGCCAAUCAAACUCGGAGAUAGCUGGUUCUCCCCGAAAGCUAUUUAGGUAGCGCCUCGGACGAAUACUACUGGGGGUAGAGCACUGUUAAGGCUAGGGGGUCAUCCCGACUUACCAACCCUUUGCAAACUCCGAAUACCAGUAAGUACUAUCCGGGAGACACACGGCGGGUGCUAACGUCCGUCGUGGAGAGGGAAACAACCCAGACCGCCAGCUAAGGUCCCAAAUUACAGCUAAGUGGGAAACGAUGUGGGAAGGCUUAGACAGCUAGGAUGUUGGCUUAGAAGCAGCCAUCAUUUAAAGAAAGCGUAAUAGCUCACUAGUCGAGUCGGCCUGCGCGGAAGAUGUAACGGGGCUAAGUUGUAAACCGAAGCUGCGGCAAUAUCUUUUAGAUAUUGGGUAGGGGAGCGUUCUGUAAGCCGUUGAAGGUGUGUUGUAAAGCAUGCUGGAGGUAUCAGAAGUGCGAAUGCUGACAUGAGUAACGA